rnacentral:rRNA from 1 species
AUUGAACACUGGCGGCAUGCCUUACACAUGCAAGUCGAACGGUAACAGGUCUUCGGAUGCUGACGAGUGGCGAACGGGUGAGUAAUACAUCGGAACGUGCCUAGUAGUGGGGGAUAACUACUCGAAAGAGUAGCUAAUACCGCAUGAGAUCUACGGAUGAAAGCAGGGGAUAGCAAGACCUUGUGCUACUAGAGCGGCCGAUGGCAGAUUAGGUAGUUGGUGGGAUAAAAGAUUACCAAGCCGACGAUCUGUAGCUGGUCUGAGAGGACGAUCAGCCACACUGGGACUGAGACACGGCCCAGACUCCUACGGGAGGCAGCAGUGGGGAAUUUUGGACAAUGGGCGAAAGCCUGAUCCAGCAAUGCCGCGUGCAGGAUGAAGGCCUUCGGGUUGUAAACUGCUUUUGUACGGAACGAAAAGCCCUGGGUUAAUACCCUGGGGUCAUGACGGUACCGUAAGAAUAAGCACCGGCUAACUACGUGCCAGCAGCCGCCGUAAUAC